rnacentral:rRNA from 1 species
AUUGAACGCUGGCGGCAGGCUUAACACAUGCAAGUCGAGCGGGGGAAGGUAGCUUGCUACCGGACCUAGCGGCGGACGGGUGAGUAAUGCUUAGGAAUCUGCCUAUUAGUGGGGGACAACAUCUCGAAAGGGAUGCUAAUACCGCAUACGUCCUACGGGAGAAAGCAGGGGAUCUUCGGACCUUGCGCUAAUAGAUGAGCCUAAGUCGGAUUAGCUAGUUGGUGGGGUAAAGGCCUACCAAGGCGACGAUCUGUAGCGGGUCUGAGAGGAUGAUCCGCCACACUGGGACUGAGACACGGCCCAGACUCCUACGGGAGGCAGCAGUGGGGAAUAUUGGACGAUGGGGGGAACCCUGAUCCAGCCAUGCCGCGUGUGUGAAGAAGGCCUUAUGGUUGUAAAGCACUUUAAGCGAGGAGGAGGUUACUCUAGUUAAUACCUAGGGAUAGUGGACGUUACUCGCAGAAUAAGCACCGGCUAACUCUGUGCCAGCCGCCGCUGUAA